rnacentral:rRNA from 1 species
CCUACGGGGGGCAGCAGUGGGGAAUAUUGGACAAUGGGGGGAACCCUGUUCCAGCCAUGCCGCGUGUGUGAAGAAGGCCCUCGGGUUGUAAAGCACUUUCAGUGAGGAAGAACGCCUGGUGGUUAAUACCCAUCAGGAAAGACAUCACUCACAGAAGAAGCACCGGCUAACUCCGUGCCAGCAGCCGCGGUAAUACGGAGGGUGCGAGCGUUAAUCGGAAUUACUGGGCGUAAAGCGCGCGUAGGUGGCUUGAUAAGCCGGUUGUGAAAGCCCCGGGCUCAACCUGGGAACGGCAUCCGGAACUGUCAAGCUAGAGUGCAGGAGAGGAAGGUAGAAUUCCCGGUGUAGCGGUGAAAUGCGUAGAGAUCGGGAGGAAUACCAGUGGCGAAGGCGGCCUUCUGGACUGACACUGACACUGAGGUGCGAAAGCGUGGGUAGCAAACAGGAUUAGAUACCCUUGUAGUC